UCUUGUUUAAAUACAUAAAAUUGAGAGAAUUCUUGUUUGCAAUGGCAUCGAGCAAAUUAUGAAAGCAUUAUUAACAUAUGGAUCAAUAAUGUUAUGAAGCAAAGAUUGUAAAAAAAGGAAAUCUGGCGGGUCGCCAAACAAUACACUUACACCUUGUUGAUAAUGGAGCUUCCAAGAAAAAGGUUUGGGGAAAGAUGGGUUUGAGCUUUUUGAGAGGAUGCAGAGUGAAGGGGCAUUGCCUGAUUUACAUACUUACAACUCCGUGGUUAAUGCGUUGCGAUGAUGGUGAGAAGCUGAAAGUAUUCCAACCGUUCGGUGAAAUGCGCCACAGAGGGCUGCAUGCAAUAUCGUGAUUUACAAGUAUUAAUUAAGGGGCUGUGUAAGCAGGGGGUUUUGAGGGAUGCGAAGAGAUUGUUAGGUGAGAUGACGAGCUGUGGUUUGAGGCCGAGCGUAAUCACUUACUACUUGUUAAUGGAUUGGUACUGCUGUGUUGGGAUGCUUGAGAAAGUUCUGUACUUACAUGACGAGCUGAAGUCUUCCAGUUUAUCUCCAACUGUGAUCACCUGCAAGGUCCUGGCUGCAGGAUGCUCAAGAAGUGAGGACUCAUUUCGGGUUUUGGAGUUAGUUGUUGAGACGGAAGAGAGGGCGAUUUCUCCAUCGAAGAUUACAUACACUAUCUUGAUUGAUUUCUCACAGUGUAACAACAUGGAUAAAGCACUCGAACUCCUUGCUCAAAUGAAGAUGAUUUGUUUGGUUGCAGAUGUUUAUACUUAUAGCGUCUUGAUAAAAAGGGUGGUUCAAUGAAGGAGAUAUGGGGGAAGCAUCAAACUUGUGGGAGACAAUGUGUGAGGUGGAAGUCGAACCCAAUAAUGUAAUGGAGUAUACUAUUGCAUACAAUGUAGCUUCUAUAAAGCAUUGAAGCUGCUAAAACAAAUGGUUGAAAAAGGUAUGGUGCCUUAUGUAACUAGUUACAACAUGACAAUCCCAAGUCCUUGAGGGAGAUGGGAAACGAGAUGUGCUUCAAAAUCUUCUCUCUGGCAUGCUGAAAUCCAGCUUAAUCGUCUGAUCAGAGGCUGUUGGCAGUGAAUUUUUUCAACUUGAGACAUCAAAUGGAGAGGAUGCAGUCCGAGUACUUCUGGGACUUCGAUGAUCUUUGAUUUUUUUGGAGGAAUUUGGAUCAUGUAGACAAUUGGAGAUGGCCUCAAGAUAGAAGCAAUAUGAUAAACUUGAUGACUGUUGAAAGCUUGGUUAGUGAUUUAAAUUUGAAUUUCGAAAACUAUAUAGUAGUGAAUAAAAGAGGUGGUUGUGACAUGACGCUGUACUUUAAAGAAGUGGGUAGAGUAUGGAGAAGACGGGACUCCCGUGCACUUGUUGGAUUCCAACAUUUUCUGGUAAGCUUAUAUUUUCUUCCAAGGGAGAGCACAUGGUCCAAUACUAAUAUCAACAAAUUAGAGGAUAGAAAAAUUGAAAAAAUACUAAUAGUAGUAUUUUUGCAAAUACAUGAUGUGUGCUCAACCUGAUAAAAUUGAUAGCAGAAACAAAAUGAGUGAUGGUAAUGUAUCAACAGAGGGAUGGCCUCUCUGAAUAUUUUAACGCAUGCUAAAUUUCACUACAGUUGAAGGGUUAAUCGAUAUCGCCUAUUUCUAAAACUUUUUGCAGUCAAUGAAAGAGGUGAUUGUGAUACUAUUAUAUGUAAACUAGCUAGAGCGAAUGGCUGAUAAUUCACAUUUCCAUUUGCUAAGUUACGGAUGCAGAUAGAACUUCAAAGUUGAUACUAAAUAGUCUUUUAUAUUUGUGGAGGAUCAGAAAGACCAGACAGAGCUUGAAGGAAAACUUCUUCGGGUUCAGAAACGAGCCCAAGAUCCAUCUCGCGCAUAGAGAGAUGCAUGAAUCAAAACAAGAAUUACAUUUUUAUUUCUCAAUCCAGCAACGACGACAAGAGGGUAUUUUCUGAUCAAGAAUCGCCGUUCUUUUUCCAGCUGACGAGCAUGGUGAUGCAGCGCUUGACAAUGUAGAAUUUGGCCUUCUGUUCUUUGGCCAAGUUGGUGCACUUGCGCGUGAAGCCUGAACACCUCUGCGAUGAGCUUCGGGGGAGGGAGGAUUUGGAGGAGGUGCUACGGGAGAGAUUGAAGGGGUUCUUGGUGGAGCUAUGCUGCGAGACGCUCCUUGAUAUAGACGGUUUGGAUGAGGAAUGUGGUCUAUCUUCUUUGGAUAACUGCCAUUUCUCAUCCAUGUAAUACUCCAUGGAUCCACCCUUGCCUACUAGUAAUGGUUCCUUUUUGUGUGGUGUGUGAGUAAGAGGGAUGUGUAGAGAGAGGGCAAGCAGAGGGAGAAAAGAGAGUUGUGAGAUGAGGUGGUGGUGGGACAAUAUAUACUAGUGUGGUAUUGACGACUGUUGUUUAGCAGCAUCACAUGUGGGAUGCUCGAGUAAAAUGGUCAGUUUUGCGCCUUACUUUAUAAUUUGCAGCCAAAUUCUAUGCUGGAUCUCGUUUAUUAUA